UAACCACAAAUUCAUGUCUAUACCGUAAACCUCCGACUAUAAGCCCUGGGCACAGAAUAAGGCACACAGAAGGGCCACUUACGUCGGAAGCUUUGAAGUUUUUGUCACCCUGGCCGCCAUCUUCCUAGCCAGUCGAUUAAGUUUUCUGGCCAAUAAACGCGCUGUAUUGGCUGAAGGCCCCCCCGCCUUCUGGCCAGUCAACUGCAUAUUUUUGCAUAGAAAAAUGGUGACACGUUGCAACGCUGAGUGGCCCUUCUGGUACUAAUCUUUAUUCUGUGCCCUGGGCUUAUACACCCUUUUCAUAAGUGGCUGCCGAUUAAAAAUUCUUUUAUGUGCAUAUAAAUUGGCCCAACUAGCCUCGUACUCAUGUUAAGAUUUCAAAGGAAUUUCUACCCAGAAACGAGGCUAGUUGGGUCAAUUUAUAUGCACAUAAAAGAAUUUUUAAUCGGCAGCCAUUUAUGAAAAGCGUGUAUAUACUUUCGUAAGCGAUUUUUGAUGGGCUUAUAUAAGGGGGGC